AUCAGUAUUUCCUUGGUGCUGCCACCAAGAUAAACCAUUGCAGGAAAGCAUGUGGCAGCCUCUGCUGUGAGCUCAUCUCAGUGUGACCUGGCAGCUUAUCACUGCAAGCGCUUCUGCAGGAUGUAAACUCUAGUGCAGAUAGUAUCACCUUGUCAUUUCUCUAGCUCCUAUGAAGGCAGUGGGGAGCUGGCUGGUCCCACUCAUUGGGGAAGAAAAGUGGAACCUGCUCCUACAGGUGAGCCACCACCUGUUCCUGAUGCAGUGUAAACCUGGGUUCAGCACAGCUGGAUGCUAGGCCAAGGUACGACCUCCUGGAGCUGCUCUCUUCUACGUCAUCUGACUGCAUUGCCAACAGCUCUUCUCUAGGUAAAAACAGCGAUGUCCUUUUUAUCCAGGGAGGGAGAGAACUGGAACCACAAAGAGCUCUGGUGAGGCGCUGGGGACAAAGAUUAGUAGUCAGAGCUCAGCAUCAUCUGGUGAUGGUUAACCUAAAGGCCAGCCCUGAGAGACGCCUUGGCUGUGGCUUCAUGACCAAAUUGCUGCAAGGAGCAGAGAUCGUUGAGUACUGGUCUGCUGCAAGACUGUUUUGCUUCUGUUCUGUGGCAGGAUGACUCUAUUUUUCCGGCUUGUGUUUAAAUCAUUCUAUUUAAGGUGAAAAACCUCAGAAUCUGUAUGUUUUCUUCAACAUCUCUUAGUGUCUUCAGUCUGAGAGGAUGCAGCUAUUAUUUAUAUACACCAGGUCUUUGUUCUUGUUUAGGCUGCUGUAGCUUGUCUAAAAUUACUCAUUGGGUUUGUGUCCUUGAAACUGGAGCAAGCUCUCUGGUGUGGUAUCUGCACUACAAUACAUCCCAGCAGGAGCUCACUCUGACAGUUACAUUUCUCAGAACUUGAGGGAAAGAGGUUGUGAUAGGACAGAUGGAGUAAUCUUGAUUACCUCUGUCAUGACCCAAGCUCUGAGACAAGAACCCCAAAGACCUAAAGCCUAUUUCUCCCCCUAAAUCCACAGGGAAAUGAUUUGAUGAAACACGGACCUUUCUAGUCUUACACAAGAUCAACUCCCUUGAGUUGGAAAAAAAAAAUAAAAAAAAAAUAGGAGCAUUAUGAAACUUUGUUGACGCACAUGGUGAGUGCUUUAAGAAUCAUCCCUUUGGACAGUAGGAUGCUGUUACCAAAACUGACUGUGUGGGGUGGUCAAUGGUGUCCAGGCGGAACAGGCAGCCUGCUGAGCUGUGGCUUGCUCUGACUAUUUGAAGGAAAUUCCUCCUGAGGACAGCUGGGUGCAUUUGGGAUCGCUGGCUAUGUUUGCAGAGGGGAGGGCCUCAUCCCAGACAGCUGGGCUCUGAGAAAUGUAAGGGGUCAGUGUGGCAUGAGACAACUUAGCCUGAGCAUUAGGAUGUCUGAUGGGGGGUAACAAAGAGGCAGGGUAAUCUUGUCUCUCUCUGGAUACUUGCUGGGCUAGUGGUAGGUGUUUUGCAUUCAUUUUCACAAAGGGUGGGGAAACUGGGAAAAAGAAAAGCAAACUUUAUGCUAAGAUCUGGCAGAAAGCUUUGAAGUGAGAGAGAAAAAAUACUCAUUUUCUUUAGUAUAACAUGAAUCUCCUGCUGUAACUGAGUUAGAAGUCAUUACUACUUUGAUGAGGAGGGAAUAGAAAGAUUUCUUUAACUAAUGAGACAAAAGCUUUACAGAAACCAACGUCUUAUUGUUUAACACCCCAGAAGGAAUCACCAUUUGGAAAUAAGGUUCCAGCUUUUAAAACAGAGGUGAUGAUUAAUCUCUGGUGUUUGGUACUAAAUGAGAUAUAGAUUCACCACCUCUUUAGGGCAAUUUUACUGAAUGUGUCUCUUUUUGCUAUAGCUAUACAGGGAACAUAGGAGCCCUGCCACUUCCUAACAUUUUUAUUAAUGGUUUGGAAAGAACUGACGGAAUCUAUCUUGAUACAAUGGCUGUUGGAGUGGCUGUUCUUGGGAUUCAGCAGACAAGAAGUUUAAAAACAAGCUUUAAUCAAGUAGCAUUCAUUGAGUUCAGUACAGGAGUGACAAAAUCCCCUGCCUUGUUUUAUACAGGAUGCAGACUGAAUGAUCUAACAGGCUUAAUUGGCCUUAAAAUAGAAUUAGUCAUAUUCCUUCUGUGAGUAAAAUAAGCAGCAGCAGACACACCCAAGAGUAUCUGCGUAACUUAUUUUAAAUCAGCCAAAGAGUACGAAAUUCAGGAGCACUGAAGUUUAGGGGGAUAGUUUUCCUUUAGACUGUCAAUAGGAAGAAGCAUGUUCAUCCAGAGGCACUGCAGAGCACCUAGGUGAGCUGGCUGGAAACACAGCGCUCUUCAUCAUCUUUAGAGGUUAUUCGAAGCCAAGAAGUAUCCUAUUCUGCAUGUUGAAUUUUAAACUACCAAAAUAAUAGUAUUUUAAUGUUUCUAGUGUUUUUGGCAGUAUACAAGGGUCUCAUUGUGAGCGUAAUGAAUGACGAGGACCUCUGUUUUGAUUUGCUGUUGAUAUUUUAGAGAACAUUGUAAGAGUGGCAAGCCUCACACUUGAGAUUUAAUUUUUGGCACAGUUUUAAGGGAUGAGGUGCAGUUAUGGUCAGCAGUAAUAUGGUGUAAAAUAUAAUGUUGCCAAGUCU